rnacentral:rRNA from 1 species
GAUGAACGCUGACAGAAUGCUUAACACAUGCAAGUCAACUUGAAUUUGGGUUUUUAACUUAGGUUUGGGUGGCGGACGGGUGAGUAACGCGUAAAGAACUUGCCUCACAGCUAGGGACAACAUUUGGAAACGAAUGCUAAUACCUAAUAUUAUGAUAAUAGGGCAUCCUAUAAUUAUGAAAGCUAUAAGCGCUGUGAGAGAGCUUUGCGUCCCAUUAGCUAGUUGGAGAGGUAACGGCUCACCAAGGCGAUGAUGGGUAGCCGGCCUGAGAGGGUGAUCGGCCACGAGGGGACUGAGACACGGCCCUUACUACUACGGGAGGCAGCAGUGGGGAAUAUUGGACAAUGGACCGAGAGUCUGAUCCAGCAAUUCUGUGUGAACGAUGAAGUUUUUCGGAAUGUAAAGUGCUUUCAGUUGGGAAGAAACAAAUGACGGUACCAACAGAAGAAGUGGCGGCUAAAUACGUG